rnacentral:rRNA from 1 species
AUUGAACGCUGGCGGCAUGCUUUACACAUGCAAGUCGAACGGUAACAGGCCUUCGGGCGCUGACGAGUGGCGAACGGGUGAGUAAUGCAUCGGAACGUGCCCAGUCGUGGGGGAUAACGCAGCGAAAGCUGUGCUAAUACCGCAUACGAUCUGCGGAUGAAAGCGGGGGACGUUCGGGCCUCGCGCGAUUGGAGCGGCCGAUGUCAGAGUAGGUAGUUGGUGGGGUAAAGGCUCACCAAGCAAAAGAUCUGUAGAGGGGAUGAGAGGACGACCAGCCACACUGGGACUGAGACACGGCCCAGACUCCUACGGGAGGCAGCAGUGGGGAAUUUUGGACAAUGGGCGCAAGCCUGAUCCAGCAAUGCCGCGUGCAGGAAGAAGGCCUUCGUGUUGUAAACUGCUUUUGUACGGAGCGAAAAGGCUCCCUCUAAUACAGGGGGCUCAUGACGGUACCGUAAGAAUAAGCACCGGCUAACUACGUGCCAGCCGCCGCCGUAAUAC